GUGUGACGCCGGUGCCCUUUUGGAGCGUCAAAUUAUACAAGUACAUAUUGAAGCAGAACUAUUUUCAGCCUACACAGUUGCACUCAUUUCCUGUUUCUUUAC